GCGGGCGUGGCGCAAUUGGCUGACGCGCCGGCUUUAGGUGCCGGUGUUCGAAAGAACGUGUGGGUUCGAGUCCCACCGCCCGCACGA
rnacentral:tRNA from 3 species